rnacentral:rRNA from 1 species
GGGGGAUAACUAGUCGAAAGAUUAGCUAAUACCGCAUACGACCUGAGGGUGAAAGUGGGGGACCGCAAGGCCUCAUGCUAUAGGAGCGGCCGAUGUCUGAUUAGCUAGUUGGUGAGGUAAAGGCUCACCAAGGCGACGAUCAGUAGCUGGUCUGAGAGGACGAUCAGCCACACUGGGACUGAGACACGGCCCAGACUCCUACGGGAGGCAGCAGUGGGGAAUUUUGGACAAUGGGCGAAAGCCUGAUCCAGCAAUGCCGCGUGUGUGAAGAAGGCCUUCGGGUUGUAAAGCACUUUUGUCCGGAAAGAAAUGGCUCUGGUUAAUACCUGGGGUCGAUGACGGUACCGGAAGAAUAAGGACCGGCUAACUACGUGCCAGCAGCCGCGGUAAUACGUAGGGUCCAAGCGUUAAUCGGAAUUACUGGGCGUAAAGCGUGCGCAGGCGGUUGUGCAAGACCGAUGUGAAAUCCCCGAGCUUAACUUGGGAAUUGCAUUGGUGACUGCACGGCUAGAGUGUGUCAGAGGGGGGUAGAAUUCCACGUGUAGCAGUGAAAUGCGUAGAGAUGUGGAGGAAUACCGAUGGCGAAG